AGCCUUCUGUAUCUGUACUGAGAUUUCGUCAGCGAUCAACCCACUGGCGUUGGUUGAUGAAACUUCCUAAAUAAGUGAAGUG
rnacentral:pre_miRNA from 1 species